AUUGAACGCUGGCGGCAGGCCUAACACAUGCAAGUCGAGCGGAUGAAGGGAGCUUGCUCCUGGAUUCAGCGGCGGACGGGUGAGUAAUGCCUAGGAAUCUGCCUGGUAGUGGGGGAUAACGUCCGGAAACGGGCGCUAAUACCGCAUACGUCCUGAGGGAGAAAGUGGGGGAUCUUCGGACCUCACGCUAUCAGAUGAGCCUAGGUCGGAUUAGCUAGUUGGUGGGGUAAAGGCCUACCAAGGCGACGAUCCGUAACUGGUCUGAGAGGAUGAUCAGUCACACUGGAACUGAGACACGGUCCAGACUCCUACGGGAGGCAGCAGUGGGAAAUAUUGGACAGUGGGCGAAAGCCUGCUCCAGCCAUGCCGCGUGUGUGAAGAAGGUCUUCGGAUUGUAAAGCACUUUAAGUUGGGAGGAAGGGCAGUAAGUUAAUACCUUGCUGUUUGGACGUUACCAACAGAAUAAGCACCGGCAAACUUCGU
rnacentral:rRNA from 1 species